GUCGCUCUUACCGAUUGAAUGGUCCGGUGAAGACUCGGGACUGUGGUUUGGCUCCUUCAUUGGGACCAGACUGCGGGAACUUGUCCGAACCUUAUCAUUUAGAGGAAGGUG
rnacentral:rRNA from 1 species